AUCUAGGCUCUUGCAUCGAUGAAGAACGUAGCGAAAUGCGAUACUUGGUGUGAAUUGCAGAAUCCCGUGAACCAUCGAGUCUUUGAACGCAAGUUGCGCCCGAUGCCAUUAGGUUGAGGGCACGUCUGCCUGGGUGUCACAUAUCGUAGCUUCCUGCCAAUUUC
rnacentral:rRNA from 1 species